GUGGCAGCCCUGUAUACCGACGUCCUUUAUCCACAGGACAGGCCCAGCCUGGGCAGCAGCAGUGCAAACAUACACACCCCAGCCUCUCACUCCUUUGCAGCCUAGCCGCCCCUCUGACUAAACCUUGCAUUGUAGUCACAAGCAGGUGAUGGAUGCUGACGUCGGGGCCAAUCAGAAGCAGGACUUG
ensembl:misc_RNA